UACGGGGGGGGCAAGCGUUGUUCGGAAUUACUGGGCGUAAAGGGCGUGCAGGCGGUUUGUUUAGUCUAGGGUGAAAGCUCCCGGCUUAACUGGGAGAGGUCCUUGGAUACUGGCAAACUUGAGGGAGGCAGAGGAAAGUGGAAUUCCCGGUGUAGUGGUGAUAUGCGUAGAUAUCGGGAGGAACACCAGUGGCGAAGGCGGCUUUCUGGGCCUUACCUGACGCUGAGACGCGAAAGCGUGGGGAGCGAACCGG
rnacentral:rRNA from 1 species